rnacentral:misc_RNA from 1 species
CUUGAUUUGAAUUGUUGACUUGUGUGUUGAUUCGGUCAGCUUCUUGGGUGCUUUUCAAUAGCUUAAUAAAGGUUGUGAAUUGACCGGCCUUUUUAAGGAUCGUUGUGAUAUUGGUUGGACCUGAUGGGGCUGGUAUGGGAGUUUGAGCAGAAGAAGUUGAGCAAUAGAGGAAGAAGAGCAUCAAGAAAAGAAGAAUUGGGAAGGAAAGUUGCUUUCUCAUCGUUGUAGGUAUUGGAUGUGGUCUAAGUUUCUGUUAAGUUAGCCAAGUAGUGAUGAGGAAGAGUGUGAGGUGUGGAGAGAGAGAGGGAGGGGGGCAUAUAUUGAGAGAGAAGGGGGAAGAAG